AUGAGUGGCUGUCAUGGGAAUGACAUUCCUGUAACAUCAGAUAGUUUGUUUGGAUUGGAGGGUGAUGUCAUAAAGUUGUCCUGUAACUACUCCUCUGCUAGUACUCUCCAGUGGUAUCGACAGUACCCUGGAUUAUCUUCCAUCUUCCUCAUCCUCACUGGAGUGUCCUCAAACCUCUAUUCUGCUCUGUACUACUGUGCCCUGGAGCUCACAGUGACAGGCGUCUUCUGUCUCAGUUCUGAACAGGUUUUAACACCCUACAGUGAUGUUGAAGUGGCUUCAGAAAGGGACAGAGUUAAACUCUCUUGUAACUACUCCUCUGGUGACACUCUUCAAUGGUAUCGUCAAUAUCCCAAUUCAGCACCACAGCUACUGGUUAAGGAGUAUGUGGAUAAUACACCAGGGUUCACUCUAAAUCAUGACAAAAAAGCCAAACGUGUGGAUCUGGAGAUCUCCUCUGCUGAAGUGACAGACUCUGCUCUGUACUACUGUGCCCUGGAGCCCACAGUGACAGGAAACCUGCCAACACUGUUCAAAAACUGCUAUCUAUUCAAGACGAGGAGCUAA